GGCUUGAACCCACAAACCGUGAGAUCAUGACCAGAGCUGAAGCCGGACACUUAACCUAUUGAGCCACCCAGGUGCGCCUCUAGUUAAUUCCUCUGGGAAUUUUUCCCCUUAAAAUUGGAUUCUGCAGGGAAAAUAAUCGCAGAUUCAGUGUGUUAUAAUUACAAGAGGAAUCUUAGGAUGCCACUCCCUAUUUACCACUAUUUUGAGUUGGGUGCAUUUUCCACAGGACAUUAUAUUACAUGUAAGUUUUUCUUUGAACCCUUAGAGUAAAAAAAAAAAAAAAAAAAAAAAAAAAUUGUGCACUGGUUACCCAUCCAACACCCGCUUGGAUAUUCCUAAGUUUCUAUUGAUGAGAAUAAUUUUUAAGAAGCUAACAGGUUUAUGAAAUCCUAUGUAAGGCUCUCUCUCUCUCAAAGAUCUUCUGUUCACAGAAAGUAAAUAUUAUAAAAUAAAUCUUGCUCACACAUGUGUCUGCUCUUCUCAACACUACCAUUUGCACACUUAGAGCAACCGGAACCAAAAUCAUUUUCUUAAAUAUUUUAAGUAGUUAGUACUUCUGGGGCAUUGUUUGAAGGGGUCCCCCAGAAGACGUUUUGGGAAGUGAUGUCUAUGAACAACAUAUUUUAAAUUUCAUUUCUUUGGUUGGUGUUUAGGAAUUCCAAACCAGAAAUUAUUCUGGAUAUUUCUCUUGAAAUCUUUUCUAAAUGUUUAGUCUUACUUCCUUAUUCAGAGUGUACCUUACUCAUUGACUUAUCUUUUUUCAGUUCCCAAUUUAGCCUGCUGGUCACCCAGCCCUGUCGAUACAGGUUUAGAUUGGGGCAAUGCAAGUGGCCAAUGCAAGGGGCAAUGCAAGAGACACUAACUAUGACCAUUUAUAGUAAACUUUGACUUGAGUUAGUCACCAUACCCAUCUUGUGUGUCUUCUACGCUAUUCCUUGUCUCCUUUCACUCAAAACAAAUUGCUUGUCUUUAGAGCACAAUAAAAUCGAAGGACGGAGCUGUUCUCCCAGCAGACGACACUGGGACAUCUCAUUUUUUUCUUUAAUUAGCUUAAUCAACUAAAAUUUAUUGACUACCAGCUCUGUGCAUAACCCAACACUUCAUCGCUCCCAAAGAGUUAUAGACUCUGUAUUUGGAUCGUUGCUGGUAGCUCUCCCACAUUUCCUGCUUAAUCUGUCUGCCAUUUGAUCGGCCUAAUAAAUCCUAACUCAUUUCAUAUCCUUUUACCAACCUGCUCAGGGGGGUUUCGAAUAGUGUGAGAAAUCAAACAAAAUGGCGGCGUGGUUGUGCGGUUGACUUUGCAGCCUGUUUUCCAAGAAGACUCUGAGUCAGAAAAAUGGGGAAAAGGCGUGCUGGUUUCUAUAGUUAUUAUUUGACAACUCCUAUCUGUUGCCUUUUGCAUGGUGGUCUCAUUUCUUUCUCUAGUGACAGUGGUAGCCAUUAUAUUUUAAACCCUUUUCAUAGCUAGACAUUUUUGAAACACAAUCUUAAUGGAGUGCGUGGAGUGGAGAUUGAGAAUAUUAGCAAAGAUUUUUAGCAUGUACGUCAUUUAUCUCUUCUUUUUCUUAACCAUGUCCUGCCUUUUUCAUUCAGCAUUAAGAACACUGAUGGGGACAUUAAACGUUUUCCUCUAUUUUUAUCUUCAAACGAUCUUUAUUUGCUGCUCUGCACAUUGCUAGAUUUAUUCCAGCCUCUUAACACUGGGGUCAUAGUUUAGCGUCAGCUC